UACGUAGGGGGCGAGCGUUGUCCGGAAUUACUGGGCGUAAAGGGUGCGUAGGCGGGCUGUCAAGUCUGAUGUGAAAGGUUGCGGCUUAACCGUGAGAAGGCAUUGGAAACUGGCAGUCUUGAGUGCAGGAGAGGGAAGCGGAAUUCCCGGUGUAGCGGUGGAAUGCGUAGAUAUCGGGAGGAACACCAGUGGCGAAGGCGGCUUUCUGGACUGUAACUGACGCUGAGGCACGAAAGCUGGGGGAGCAAAC
rnacentral:rRNA from 1 species